rnacentral:rRNA from 1 species
GUCCUUUUGUUAAUAAUUUAAGGUCUGGCCUGCCCACUGAGAUUUUAAAUGGCCGUGGUAUUUUGACCGUGCUAAGGUAGCAUAAUCAUUAGUUUUUUAAUUAGAAACUGGAAUGAAAGGUUGGAUAAAAAAAUGACUGUCUCUAUUAAAUUUAAUUAGAAUUUUAUUUUUAAGUUAAAAAGCUUAAUUGAUAUUAAAAGACGAGAAGACCCUAUAGAGUUUAAUUAUUAAAUGGAAAUAAUAUUUUAGUAUUAAAUUAUUUAAUUUAUUUAAUAAUUUAAUUGGGGUGAUUGAAAAAUUUAAUAAACUUUUUUUAUUAUAAAACAUUAAUUAAUGAUUAGUUGAUCCAAUAUUUUUGAUUAUAAGAUAAAAUUACCUUAGGGAUAACAGCGUAAUUUUUUUAGAAAGUUCAUAUUAAAAGAAAAGAUUGCGACCUCGAUGUUGGAUUAAAAUAAAUUUUUGGUGUAGGAGCUAAAAUAUUA